rnacentral:rRNA from 1 species
GACAGAGGAUGCAAGCGUUAUCCGGAAUGAUUGGGCGUAAAGCGUCUGUAGGUGGCUUUUCAAGUCCGCCGUCAAAUCCCAGGGCUCAACCCUGGACAGGCGGUGGAAACUACCAAGCUGGAGUACGGUAGGGGCAGAGGGAAUUUCCGGUGGAGCGGUGAAAUGCAUUGAGAUCGGAAAGAACACCAACGGCGUAGGCAGCGCCCUGGCCGUUUCCUGACGCUGAGGCGCGACAGCGUGGGGAUCGAACUGG